GUACACGCUGUGACUAGCAUAUCAAUAAGCGGAGGAAAAGAAACUAACUAGGAUUCCCUCAGUAACGGCGAGUGAAGCGGGAAGAGCUCAAAUUUGAAAUCUUCAAGGUUCUACCUUGACGAAUUGUAGUUUAAAGAAGUGUUUUCUGUUGGAGUUUUGGUAAAAGUUCUUUGGAAUAGGACAUCAUAGAGGGUGAGAAUCCCGUAUUUGACCAUUAUUUCCAGCUUUGUGAUACACUUUCAAAGAGUCGGAUCGCUUGGGAAUGCAGUCCAAAAUGGGUGGUAAAUUUCAUCUAAAGCUAAAUACUGGCGAGAGACCGAUAGCGAACAAGUACCGUGAGGGAAAGAUGAAAAGAACUUUGAAAAGAGAGUUAAACAGUACGUGAAAUUGUCAAAAGGGAAGCGUUUGACACCAGUGUUGUUUUCUCGAAAAUCAAUUAAAAAAGGCAGGAUUUUGUGUUGUAUUGACUUUAUCAGCUUUCUGCACUCUUUUCUUGUCUUUUUUAAUGCACUUUUCGUUUAACAAGUCAACAUCAAUUUCUUUUGUUGUAAAAGGGUCAUUGGAAGGUGGCUUUCUUUUCGGAGAAAGUGUUUAUAGCCUUUGGCCUCUGCAAUCGGAGAGAUUGAGGUCUGCAGCGUAGAUCCUUCGGGGUUAGAUACAUUUGUGCUAAGUUAUAGCCUUUCAUAGACAACUUGUUGACUAUGAUCAGUCAUGUAGCUUACUCGCUUAUGCUAUUUUACCUACGCUUAGGAUGUUGAAGACUCUACAGAGAUA
rnacentral:rRNA from 1 species